rnacentral:lncRNA from 1 species
UAAAGUCUUAGCAUACUGUUUUCUGUUUGGUAGGUUUCUCAUAAUAUUUCUUGAGUAAGUUGCCAAAUGUCCUGAUUCUCUCCAUGGUUCCUAUUAAAUGUGAGAAAUAAUAAGUUUCGUCACUAGUUUAAGAGUCAGUAUCUCAAAGAGGAAGAUCCAUUUCCUCCUUCUGAAUAGCAAGUUCAUAUGAAACAGAACAAAUUACUUUUUAAACUGAAAAACAUAUUUGCACAACCAUAGCUCCUUAUUUGCCCUGCCUACAUGUCUUCUCCUCUUUUUAAAGAAAAUCAGUUAUUUGGUUUCUAAUUCAUAUCCCUCACUAGAGAAUGGACAGAAUAGCAGCAUGGCUAGUCUAAGAUACCAUCUCCCACAGUCCUUUGCAUUUUCUAAGACUCCUUUAUUUUUCUUAAGCUUGCUCUGCUAGAGACAGUGACAGUAUACAGCUGCCCGGAUCAUUGUAAAUCCUGCUGUAAUCAAAUAAGAGAAAACCCUCACACCUGAGAAAGGAAAACCACUGAUUUCACAUUCCUUUUCAAGAAGCAUCAUGGAACUCUGUGGCCCAGUCCAUGUAGCUCACCUAUACAUGGCACAUUUCUCAAUAAUGCUGGGGAGAGAGGUGUCCAACACAGAGUUGCAGGACAAAUGGAUCAGAGUCUAAUCUGCUUACAACGAUGGUACUUGCACAGCGAUUUUGAUGUGAUCAGAGGAUUAUCUUCAGCAUCUUCACACACUUAGGCGAUUCA